CCUACGGGAGGCUGCAGUGAGGAAUAUUGGUCAAUGGGCGAGAGCCUGAACCAGCCAAGUCGCGUGAAGGAUGAAGGAUCUAUGGUUUGUAAACUUCUUUUAUAUGGGAAUAAAGUGAGGAACGUGUUCCUUUUUGUAUGUACCAUAUGAAUAAGCAUCGGCUAACUCCGUGCCAGCAGCCGCGGUAAUACGGAGGAUGCGAGCGUUAUCCGGCUUUAUUGGGUUUAAAGGGUGCGUAGGUGGUUAAUUAAGUCAGCGGGGAAAGUUUGUGGCUCAACCAUAAAAUUGCCGUUGAAACUGGCGCUCUUGAGUGGAAGAGAAGUAUGCGGAAUGCGUGGUGUAGCGGUGAAAUGCAUAGAUAUCACGCAGAACCCCGAUUGCGAAGGCAGCAUGCCGGCUUCCGACUGACGCUGAAGCACGAAAGCGUGGGGAUCGAACAGGAUUAGAUACCCUAGUAGUC
rnacentral:rRNA from 1 species